rnacentral:rRNA from 1 species
CCUACGGGAGGCAGCAGUGAGGAAUAUUGGUCAAUGGGCGCGAGCCUGAACCAGCCAAGUCGCGUGAGGGAAGACGGUACUAUGGAUUGUAAACCUCUUUUGUCGGGGAGCAAAAGACGCCACGCGUGGCGUUCCGCGAGUACCCGAAGUAUAAGCAUCGGCUAACUCCGUGCCAGCAGCCGCGGUAAUACGGGGGAUGCGAGCGUUAUCCGGAUUUAGUGGGUUUAAAGGGUGCGCAGGCGGAAGAUCAAGUCAGCGGUAAAAUUGCGGGGCUCAACCUCUUCGAGCCGUUGAAACUGGUUUUCUUGAGUGAGCGAGAAGUAUGCGGAAUGCGUGGUGUAGCGGUGAAAUGCAUAGAUAUCACGCAGAACUCCGAUUGCGAAGGCAGCAUACCGGCGCUCAACUGACGCUCAUGCACGAAAGUGUGGGUAUCGAACAGGAUUAGAUACCCCGGUAGUC